GAUGAACGCUGGCGGCGUGCUUAACACAUGCAAGUCGAACGAUGAAGCCCAGCUUGCUGGGUGGAUUAGUGGCGAACGGGUGAGUAACACGUGAGUAACCUGCCCUUAACUCUGGGAUAAGCCUGGGAAACUGGGUCUAAUACCGGAUAGGAGCGCCUACCGCAUGGUGGGUGUUGGAAAGAUUUAUCGGUUUUGGAUGGACUCGCGGCCUAUCAGCUUGUUGGUGAGGUAAUGGCUCACCAAGGCGACGACGGGUAGCCGGCCUGAGAGGGUGACCGGCCACACGGGGACUGAGACACGGCCCAGACUCCUACGGGAGGCAGCAGUGGGGAAUAUUGCACAAUGGGCGAAAGCCUGAUGCAGCGACGCCGCGUGAGGGAUGACGGCCUUCGGGUUGUAAACCUCUUUCAGUAGGGAAGAAGCGAAAGUGACGGUACCUGCAGAAGAAGCACCGGCUAACUACGUG
rnacentral:rRNA from 1 species